AUGAAGAUGGUUGAGGAGAGGACACUCAAGUUUAUGUUUAUGGACACAUCAACUCUUGAUGCCAAGGCAAAGGCAUAUGUUGAACUUUGUCGCGAUGAAAUUUUCAUGAAGAAGCAAAUGCUCAUGAGGCAAAUGAUGAUGGGAGGAGGCAUGGGAGGUGCCAUGGGAGGAGGCAUGGGAGGUGCCAUGGGAGGUGCCAUGGGUGGAGGCAUGGGAGGAGGCAUGGGUGGUUACAUGAACAUGAUUGGAGGUUCCAUGAAUGAUGCAUUUGGCGGAAACAUGGGAGGUGGCUUCGGUGGCAACAUGGAAGGUGGCUUUGGCGGCAUUGGAGGUGGCUUUGGCGGCAACAUGAUGGGUGGCUUGGGAGGUGGCUAUGGCGGCAACAUGAGUGGCGUUGGAGUUGGCUUCGUCGGCAACAUGACCGGUAUGGGACGCAAUGAAGAUGCUUCCGGUGGUGCUCAUGGCAACGAGAGUUCACCGCUUGUUGAGAAACGUCGACAAAGACGGUGGUGA
rnacentral:rRNA from 1 species